UAUCGAACCACUGGGGGAACAAUCAAAUGGAGGCUGACCAGGUGCUUGUUGGAGCCACUACCUCGACAAGGACUAGACGGGUCGUGAACGUCUUCACUUUUAUCCAUUCUCCUUCUUCAAAGGCAGAUUGUUUAGAGAGAUCUGGCACGAGUGGCUGAAGUCUCGCCCCGUGUUCUUCUGUCCCAUUUGUCCUUUAAUUUAACGUGCCAGCGACUUUUCUCUUUGCUUUAAUAGUCAGCCCUCUGAAUGCAGCCACACUGCAAAGACAGAAAAUGGGGAUUCCCUGCCUUGUAAGAGCUAAUCGGCUUCCUUUUUCUUCCUUUCUUGUGUUUAAUUCUCCAUCUAUGCCUUCCUGGAGAAUAUCCUCAAGAUAUGGAGGCACGAAGCUGUGAGCUGUUGGCCAACUCCUGACCUCUCUUUUCUUGAUCCUGAAUUUUAUUUUUACAAUAGAUCACACUUUGCCUUCCUGUAUUUUAGACCUGAUUUUUCACCAAGUCUCAAGGCCUAGUGGACUCAAGUCUUUUCAUGGAAUGGCUCUACUUCUUAAUACCUUACGAGUAUUGGCGAAUCCGCUGCAAGGACCUUCGGAGAGGCCUGUCUGCUACCGUGUCAUAAACUGACUACGGGAGCACAACGAAUGCCUCCGCUUUCUUCAACGAAGGCAACCUCUAAGUUUUCCUUCCAUUUAUCCAUGGCUUCUUUAGGUUUUUAUUGAUAACUGGAUUGCUGCAGGACUGAAAUUUCAAGCUAGCCUCAACACCCAACUAGCAGCCUCAACGCCUCUUACAAGAAGCCUCCCCAAGUAGUGUCGUCCUCAUUCUUGGCACGGCCAGCUUCUGCUUCAAGUACUUCUUCGACGGGAGGAUACAGAAUUCCUUCACCUCUUGGUCACGCCCUCUGAAUAUUUUCCACCUUAUCAAAAUGUCCUUCCUAAAAGCUGACACCAAAAACCGAGCAUAAUCCUGGAGAGAGAAGGCCAGUCUCGUUUCAGUUCUGGGUGAAACAUCGAGUGAACCCCCCAGGCUCACCUCCAUCUGGGCAGACUGUCGGCCAGCUCAGCAUGAACAACAUCUGGGUGGGUCCACGUGGCUUCGCAGCUCAACGUCUAACUUUGGGCAAACGUCUGUGAACUCUUAAGAAGUUGGUAGAAUUCUCAGUCCCGGGUUGGCAAGAGAACAUGUUUGGCAAAAAAGCAAAUACAACCUGAAACUGCUUUCUCUCCCCCCAGGAGGUGAGUGCCGGCUCUGGAUUCUCCAAGGGCACUGACUGACCCAGCUAUGGGAACCGUCCUGGGGAGUUACAUGAGGGGAGAAAGGGGCUCCCAACAUGGAAGUUGUUAUUUCACACAUCUUUUUCAAUAAUAUUUUACUUUCCCCCAAUUACAUGUAAAAACAAUUUCUAACAUUCCUUUUUUAAAAGGUGGAAUCCCAAAUUCUCUUCCUCCCAUUUUCUAGACACAUACCUCACUAUCAUCGCCCUUUAAAUAUGUGCCCACUCUCCCCGCGUGUACUGGAGGUAUUUUUGAGCUAGUCCGCCCCCAAAGAAAUAUUUUCCAUGGCCUGUAAGCUACAGCUUCUUCGCAAAUAUCUUGUCUAAAGCUCGAAAAAAAUGUCAUAAGAGAGUUGCUGGUGUGAAGCACAUUAGUGGGGGCUUGUUAGAUAUAAUAAAGCCCCUCAGGAAUACUCCAUAGAAUAGGAAUUGUCCCUUUAAGAUCCCGAACCACAAAUUCAAACACGAGGUAGGGGACUGAGCCCGUAAGGAGUGUUCCCCUGAAUAAUGAGUUCCAUAACUACAUAAAAACAAUCCAAAUCACUUCUAACCAGUGAAAGUCCAAGUGAAACUACUCUAGAGCCCCAGCUCCCAUCCAUCUAAUUGGCAAAGAUAAAAAGCAGAGAGUUGAGGGGCUAGAGAAAACAGGCACAGAAAUAAAUUGAUGGAACUGUUCAAGUUUUCCUCACCAUUGUGAAAAAUAAUUAAAAUUAUAAAUGAAAAGCAACUACAUGGUAGGCAGCCCAUUAGCUCAACGGUCUCACCACUGGACUAGUAUCCCAAGGAGAUCAGUGGCAGAAAGAGAAGUCUUAUAUCUACUAACAUCUACAUAAAGGCUAUUUUUUCUGGCAGUAAUCAAGAAAAAAUGAAAUUGGAACCUGGAGACUGAUGAAUGGCUAAAAAACAUAACAUGUUAAUGGAAUACUCUUGCAAAGUAAAAGAUCAUGGAGAAA